GCGGUAGGCUUAACACAUGCAAGUCGGACGGAAACGAUAGAUUAGCUUGCUAUUCUAGGCGUCGAGUGGCGGACGGGUGAGUAACGCGUGGGAAUCUACCCUAUAGUUGGGGACAACAUAUGGAAACGUAUGCUAAUACCGAAUAUGCUCUACGGAGUAAAGGAGCCCUCUUCUUGAAAGGUUUCGCUAUAGGAUGAGCCCGCGUAGGAUUAGCUAGUUGGUAAGGUAAUGGCUUACCAAGGCAACGAUCCUUAGCUGGUUUGAGAGGAUGAUCAGCCACACUGGGACUGAGACACGGCCCAGACUCCUACGGGAGGCAGCAGUGGGGAAUAUUGCACAAUGAGCGAAAGCUUGAUGCAGCCAUACCGCGUGUGUGAAGAAGGCCCGAGGGUUGUAAAGCACUUUCAAUUGGGAGGAAGAUAGAGUAGUUAAUACCUGCUUUAUUUGACGUUACCUUUAGAAGAAGCACCGGCUAACUCUGUGCCAGCAGCCGCGGUAAUACAGAGGGUGCAAGCGUUAUUCGGAAUUACUGGGCGCAAAGCGCGCGUAGGCGGAUUAGUAAGUCAAUUGUGAAAACCCUGGGCUCAACCUAGGAACUGCAUCUGAUACUGCUAGUCUAGAGUUUAGUAGAGGGAAGGGGAAUUCCAGGUGUAGCAGUGAAAUGCGUAGAUAUCUGGAGGAACAUCAGUGGCGAAGG
rnacentral:rRNA from 1 species